ACGCACGCUGGCGGCCUGCCUAACCCAUGCAAGUCGCACGCGACCUUCGGGUCUAGUGGCGCACGGGUGCGUAACGCGUGGGAACCUGCCCUUAGGUUCGGAAUAACUCCCCGAAAGGGGUGCUAAUACCGGAUAAUGUCUUCGGACCAAAGAUUUAUCGCCUUUGGAUGGGCCCGCGUUGGAUUAGCUAGUUGGUAGGGUAAAAGCCUACCAAGGCGACGAUCCAUAGCUGGUCUGAGAGGAUGAUCAGCCACACUGGGACUGAGACACGGCCCAGACUCCUACGGGAGGCAGCAGUGGGGAAUAUUGGACAAUGGGCGAAAGCCUGAUCCAGCAAUGCCGCGUGAGUGAUGAAGGCCUUAGGGUUGUAAAGCUCUUUUACCCGGGAUGAUAAUGACAGUACCGGGAGAAUAAGCUCCGGCUAACUCCGUG
rnacentral:rRNA from 1 species